AUUAAGUAUAUACAGAGAGCAUGUGUUUGUGAGGACUACGUGCAUUUUAAAUUGGCCGGAUUUUGAAUAGAAGUUGGCGCAAAAGGAAACGAAGUCUCUUGGUCGUCACAGUGCGCGUGUGGUGGCUGGUGAAGUGCGCGGUUCAACAGUUUUGCGCAUUACUCUGGGUUAGUGGGCUUUGCUGAAGAAGCUGGAGCUCUGUGGCGAUGAUACUGACAGAUGAAUAUGUCUGAUCUUUAAGUUGAGCGGGACGUGCGCGUCAAGCUAGCUCAUUUAAAAAGCUGCUGUAGCAUACUUGCUAGCUAACUCAGCUAGCUUGAUAGCAUAGUAACUUCCUAGCCGACUGCAGAGUUGGAAUUCAUGUUUUCUUUGCUUCGACUGAGGUGGAUGUUUGAAUAUGGCACAUAGGAAAGAAGUGUUCCAGUCAAAAGUUCUCCAGAAGCUUUACCCUGCUGUCCAAGAGGCGGUGACGGAACAGAGCCCACCACAUAUUGUAGAAGCUCUAGGCAAAAAGAAACAUCUGAAAAGCAAAGCUUCUGGAGAGGACACGGCCUCAGGAGAUGCAGUGAAGAGACCGAGCGCAGCCAAACCAGGCAGGCGGAUGUACACGGUCCUUCCUCCUCCUGCAGACUAUGAUAUACAUUCAGAGGAAUCUGUCUCACUACAGCAGCUAAAAAGCAUAAAUAGCGUGGAGGAACCAGCUGAGGGGAACAACCACGAGAGCGACGAAGUGCUGGACGAAGAGCAAGAAGCAGAGGAACAACGGAGGAGGAGGAGGAAUAGGAAGAAGAAAGCAACCGUUUGUCAAGACUCUGGGAAUGACGAGGCAACUCCAGGGAGCGAGUCCGGCACAGGUCAGAGUCAGACGGCGGGGGAUGAGGGGGCCGAGCGAAUUAGCAGGAACAAGAAGCGAAAGCUGAAGAAGAAACGGCGCAAACAGAAGCUGCUCUCCAUGGGUCUGAUGCCUCGGGCCGCUGCGCUGGAGUUCACGUAUCAAAAAGAUGGAGAGGAGGAGGAGGAGGAGGGGCAGGAGGAAGACGAGAGGAGAGCAGCUGAGGUGUCAGACUUCCUCAGGACAACGAUGGAAAUGUAUUUGUCAGAUUCCUCGUCGCAUGCUUCCACGAUCCCUGACCUGUCUGCUACAGUGGACGGCCUUCUGGGCGGCAUAGACGGCGGAAGCAAACCUAACUCAGUCCUGAAGCAUCUGUACAGUCUCAAGACCUUUGUUCAGCAAACGGAUACAGAAAAGCUAGAAAAAGCUCUAAAGGAGCUCUGCAGCAACUCCUCCUGCAUGUCUGCAGUAGGCUCUUCUUGCUGGAACCUGCCCCGAGCGCUUCGUCGGGCCCGUCCCUGCAGGUUAACACUCGCCUCCCAGUGUUAGGGGGCAAACGCCGAUUAGGAUUGUUUGCCGGCUACCUGCCCUGACUUGUCUCAUUCAGCCUUCACCUGUACGUACCUGUCCCUGACUUGGUAAUACUCGAGCUGACCAGGAAACCGCGGCAGUUGUUACACUCUUCCAAUACUGGAUCACAGACAUUCUUCCCAUGCAGGGAGACAAGAAGACUCGUGCUUUCUCCAACACACCCAUGAGACUGCC